UACGUAGGGGGCUAGCGUUGUCCGGAUUUAUUGGGCGUAAAGAGCGUGUAGGCGGCCAGGUAGGUCUGCUGUGAGAACUCGAGGCUCAACCUCGAGACGUCGGCGGAAACCAUCUGGCUAGAGUCCGGAAGAGGAGAGUGGAAUUCCUGGUGUAGCGGUGAAAUGCGCAGAUAUCAGGAAGAACACCCGUGGCGAAGGCGGCUCUCUGGGACGGUACUGACGCUGAGACGCGAAAGCGUGGGGAGCGAACAGG
rnacentral:rRNA from 1 species